rnacentral:sRNA from 1 species
GGAGACACUGUGGUCGGGGGUAGGCAGCGGCGCCGCGUCCGCUCUCGCCCGCUCGCCAGCCGGCUCUCCUCCCGCCGCAGGACCCGCGCGCCGCGCUCGGGGGCCAUGCAGCGCCUGGCCAUGGACCUGCGGAUGUUGUCCCGGGAGCUCUCCCUCUACCUGGAACACCAAGUCCGGGUGGGGUUCUUCGGCUCGGGGGUGGGCUUAUCCCUUAUCCUGGGCUUCAGCGUCGCUUAUGCCUUCUACUACCUGAGCAGCAUUGCCAAGAAACCCCAGUUAGUGACGGGGGGUGAGAGUUUCAGCCGCUUCCUUCAAGACCACUGUCCCGUGGUUACAGAAACGUACUACCCGACGGUCUGGUGCUGGGAGGGUCGAGGACAGACCCUGCUUAGACCUUUCAUCACUUCGAAGCCCCCGGUGCAGUACAGGAAUGAACUUAUUAAAACUGCAGAUGGAGGACAGAUUUCACUGGACUGGUUUGAUAAUGAUAACAGUACGUGUUAUAUGGAUGCCAGCACCAGACCUACUAUCUUAUUGUUGCCUGGCCUCACUGGAACAAGCAAGGAGUCAUAUAUCCUUCAUAUGAUCCAUCUUAGUGAAGAAUUAGGAUACAGGUACCAGUAAAAGAUUUCUUUUUUUUCACUUGAUCCAUUCCAAAUGAAGUACAAGUAUAUCUACAUGUUUGUUUCAGAAAUACUUAGUACUUCUUGCACAGAAAAGCAGUCCCUUAAAUUAUUAUUUUUCUCUGCAUUCUUUUUUUCCUCUUUUUUUUUUCAGGAAGAUGCAUAACUGAAUCAUCUCACAAGAAAUAUCACUUAGCAUAGUAGACACCCUGCAGAUUUAGGCUGAAUUAAUGAAUGAAAUUAGAAUCAUCUGAGCAUUGACUGAGCCCUUCCCCCCAUCCCCACCCCAAUGGAGAGUGUGUUAUGGAGGGAGAACAACAAUUACAAACCCCUGAGAGAGUACACAGUGGCCGUCAUGCCACAUUCUGGGGCCUGGAUUCACUAAUCUUGUCGCCCUGGCUCAGCUCCCAAGUGCAAAAAAUAUUCAGAAUCAGCUUGUAGGUCGUCCCUGUUUAUCAAAGGUGAUCUCUGCCUCUUCUGACCACCUGAGUUUGCAGGUGCACUUGGCUAGUCGCCAGUUGUUGAUGCCACAGCUUUUCUGAGUAACCAUUAUUAAGCUCAGUCACCAGGUACAAUUUAAUUUUUUGCAAGUGAUUAGCAACUUUGAGUUUCAAGUUCAGCUCUAGAAUCUUAGAGUCAUUAUAAAAGGUACUGCUUUUUUGUGCCUCAGCUUUUUUUUUUUUUAGCUGAUAAUUAUUGUAAUGGAACACUCUGUGAGUUGUAUUUAAAGUAGAGUUGUAUCUUUUGUUAAACUCGAAACACUUGUGUGAAAAGCUGAUGGUAAGUUUACCUUAAAAAAAUAAUUUUAGGCUGGUCACAGUGGCUCAUGCCUGUAAUCCCAGCACUUUGGAAGGCGUAAAGCCAGUGGAUUGUUUGAGCCCAGGAGUUCGAGACCAGCCUUGGCAACAUGGUGAGACCUAGUCUACAAAAAUUAGCUGGGCAUGGUGGCAUGCACCUAUAGUUCCAGCUACUGACAAGGCUGAGGUAGGCAAUCAGUUGAGCCCAGGAGGUAGAGACUGUAGUGAACCAUGAUCG